rnacentral:rRNA from 1 species
AACGAACGUUGGCGGCGCGCUUAACACAUGCAAGUCGCACGAGAAAGGGGGCAACCCCGAGUAGAGUGGCGCACGGGUGCGUAACACGUAGGCAAUCUUCCCUCAGGAGGGGGGAUAACCAUCCGAAAGGAUGGCUAAUACCGCGUAAGACCACAGUUGCUUCGGCAACAGCGGUCAAAGGGGGGCCUCUCCUUGGAAGCUCUCACCUGAGGUCGAGCCUGCGGCCCAUCAGCUAGUGGCAGGGUAACGGCCUACCAAGGCUAAGACGGGUAGCUGGUCUGAGAGGAUGAUCAGCCACACUGGCACUGAAACACGGGCCAGACUCCUACGGGAGGCAGCAGUGGGGAAUAUUGGACAAUGGGCGAAAGCCUGAUCCAGCGACGCCGCGUGGGUGAUGAAGGGCCUUCGGUUGUAAG